GGAGAGGCACCCGCUGCUCGUUGAGAAGGACACUUCCAUAUUUGAAGAAACUACUCCAAUAUUUGAAGAAAGACUCCCAAACCUCUGAGGCAUUCUGUUCUGCUGGACAUGAUUUUAUGGAGGACAUGAGGUUUUCGCAAACACCUCCAGAGUACCAGGCUCAAAAGUCUUGUUGCUGUCCCUGUCCAAGGUCCUCCUGGUUGUGAUGCAGAUCAAGAAUAUACCUGACCAUUCCAGCUGCCACUCUGACCAUUCUUCCCCCCGGGUUGUCCCUGUCCUUUUCCAUCAGGUCAUGCUUCUGAUCUGGAUUAGGUUUAUGUUCUGGACACAGCCCACAUGCAUUUAUUAAUUAUUACAACUUGUACUCCUAAAAUGUU